rnacentral:lncRNA from 1 species
AUGUCAUUUACUUCACCGUAUUUUACUGAAUCUCAAUUGUGUAAUUUUUAUUUUUUCUCAGUCUCAUUUUCUCUUCUUUUGUGUUACAGAGAGGAAUCAGUGGAUGCUAAUGCUUAUAUCGAUGGACUGAUAACAGAUAUAAAAAGUAGUAAUCGUUUUGCUACUGUGCCUUUACCGGAGUACAGGAUGAUUAACAACUUUACAAUUUUUGGCAUAGAACUAUACUCACAGGAGGUUGUGCUUAAAGGAGGCCACACGCACGAUGCUCAAACUAUCAAGAGGAUCGGCGAUGCAUUUAUCGACUAUCGGAAAGCCAAUUUCGACGUCGAAGUGAAAUUCUAUUUUGAAAAGCUCAGAAGUCACUUUGACUUUACGUGGCUGGUGUACAAUUUGGGCCCGACCGGAAAAUUGGACGUGAAUUUGAAGGAUGUAUACGUCACAUUCCGACUGUUUGCAGAUCUUGACUUGGCGCAAGUUGACUUGACCGAGUUCCGAUUGACUUCAACCGCGCCUACGGACAUAAAAGUACACAUAUCUUGGUUGAUUGAUUGGCUUUUGAACCCUCUGAUCGAAAAAUUUUACGCGAAGGAAGUUCUUCCUUACACCGAGGCAGCCUUGAAAAAACUAUUGAACGAGUACAUUGACCAAGUGAAUGGCCCUAACAUUACCAACCUCGUUCACCGCUCGGAGUUGGUUUAUGGAAACUGAGAAUCAACUUUUCAAACUGAUGCCACGCCUAACUUAUAUCAAUAAAAUUUCACUUUUAUAAUAUACUCAUCUUAUGUGAACAACGCACGUGUAUCCUAUCUUCGCGUAGAUAGAACAAUACCCUACUAGAAAUAGAAUUUUUUCAAGAUAGAUGGUUCUCUUCCGCUGCGAGCGGGAGGAAGGCUGGAGAAUUCAACGUAGACCAUUCAAAAACCCAAGUCAUGGCUUUUUUUGUAGCUUCAUACUAAACUCUCAGAUGAUUUAUCCCGUUCAAACUGUGGCCCCCACACGCAUAUAAGUUAACUAUUGAUAGCUGCUUCAAAACAGAUGUCAUGAGAUUGGAAAAGAAAGUUUCAUCCAUUGUUGCAUGAAAAUUACUCAAUUCAUUUAUCGAAUUUUUCGUCGUCUUUUUUAUAGUGACCCUUACUUAAAUUUUAAUUCGAAAGGUUUGAAAACAAAGAAAGAACGUUGACCUUUUUUUCAUAGUAUUACACUGGAGCAUCAAUUUUUUUCUCUUUUCCUCAGCUCUCUGUACUCUGUGGCAAAAGAUUGCAUCAAAACAGAUUUUUUUUAGAGGGUGAGGUGUUUAAGAGCCCCGCCCUCUUUUGUUAGAGAAAACAAAGAGGGAAAUAAGGGUAUCUAAAAUAAUUUCAUGAAUCUCCAUCGAUAAAUUUGAGGCAAUUUAAACAUAACUUCUUUUCGUGGAAAAAAAAUUGAAGAGCGUAGUGCUUAACACAUAUCUAUUAUUAAGACAAAACUAUGCUAUAUCGAAUCAAAAAUUGGAAAUGCACCCUCAGGUGCAGUAAAAAGACUAAAAAAGAAAUAUUAAAUGAAAUCACGGAACAUAGUUGUGUUGCAGUUGCCGAAGACGGAAUUCCGAUCUUGACAUUUGAAGAUUUAGCAAACUGGAUGACGUUAUUGAUCAGAAGUUUCCAAGAAUGAAUCACAUUGUACUUGAGAGAUGGAAAAACAGACAUUUUAUCAGAGUGUUACUGGUUUAUCAUCAUCGUAGAAGAGUUCAGACUCCUAUAGGAUCCGUUUGGGAUUAUAAUUGGGGACUGGGUAGUGGGUACUUACAACAUUCAAAAAUAUAUCAUGUCGAAACCUUAAAUUAUUAAGAGAUCAAAAUUAUUAUACGUAGAUUCAAUUAUUAAAUUAUGAGGAGGAAGCGUGCAGCGUGACUCAGGACACUAUGCUAGGACGAGUAGCCAUUUAAACUACAUUCCUAGUUGAUAUUGGCGUCAGCCAUGAAUUUUUUCUAAAUUAUGAUGUUUUUUUUCGUGGCGACAAGAACAAAAAAUGAAUGAAAACAACUGAAUUGGCAGAGCUAAAACAAUAGAUGAAUUUCAGAACUGACGAGGGACUGAAUUUGAAUUUUGAAACAGUGAACAUCCAAUAAACUGAAAAUGCUAUCAGCAGAUCUAGAGAGAUAUAGCUCAGGGAAGAGAGAUGAGAUAUGAAAGACUUGUCUUUAAAAAUAAGUCAAUUUUUCAGAUGAGCUCCACAAAUCUGGUAUUUCUGCGUAGUACAGGGCUCAGCUAGAAAAUUACUGACUCCAUGUUCUCUUUUAAGAACAAUCCACUCAUUUGAUAGACAGAUGAGUGAUAAGUGAGAACGCUCUCGAUUCUUAAGGCAAUGAUGUCACGGAUACUUUCUAAGACAAAGUUCGGAAAUUAAUAGAGGACAAUUCAGAUUUGAUCAGACUUUUAAAAUACAUUUUUAAGAGUCGGUUCGAAGGAGUCCGGAAAUAUCAUAGCUCGAUAACAAUUGAGGGGCUUAGAAGACAAGGCGCAUAAGUGCAGUUUUUGCUAUUUCGAGAAAUACGUGUUUGAACUCUCGGAAUUACAUGGAUCCUUUUGGCGGAAAGAAAGUUCAAACUGACUUUUUGAUGCUUAAAGAUUGGGAUUAGGGAGCGUUUUUUUUUUUCGCAGAAUAUGCAUUAACUCUAUUUUUAUUUGAAAUCAUUAAUAUCUCAAUUUUUUCAAAAACUCCUUAUGCACCUUGUCCUCCAAGCCCUUUAAUUUGCCUUUUAAGAUUCAGGCAGAGUGGUAGUCAUGCAGGACAAUGGGUCCUUUACACUAGUUGAGGAAUCAUACGGGUUUCAUGGUAGAUAUAUAAAAUUCGGCAAAGAAUAAUAAAAUCAAUCCCAACAUUAUCUAUUUGUUUAUGAUCGACAUUUUUGACAAAAGCUGCGUAUGUUGAUGUUAAUUUCUUCACAUUAUAAACUGUAAUGGGUUGAGUGCCUCUCAAAAGGAAUUUUACGGAAAAAUUAAUGAAAACGCUUAUAAAACCCCUACGUUCCGUUUUAAAAUCGAUAUGAGGUUUUCAUGUUUUCGUCCAACUCUUCUCCUUGACUCGCUCGACUGACAAUGAGCGCCACUGGCGAAGCAGUCAUUGUCUGAAGUCAAAACGCCUUCAAAUCCGUGCGUAUGCAACAAGGACAUCCACGGAGCCCGAAUAGUUGCAUCCAGGCGUUAUCAUGAAUUUUGUUCAGUAUCUGUCACGAAAGAAUCGAUUUUUAAGGUGUUCGUGUUCGUUGCAAACGCCUUGUUUAUCGAUCCUUUUCCAUAAGUUUAAAUGGUAGAUCAAUCGAUACAUCGCAAAGCACGCCACGCCACUGAAUGUUAGGAUUAAAAACAGUGGCUUUUGUACGAAUCUUGUCACUUAACUCGAAUUUAAAAAUAUCAACCAUUAAUACACGCUUCUAUGACAAUUUCAAUAACAUUUACAACUUACUAUAUAAUUUUUUCUUCCCUAUCAUAAGGAAUUGCCGGUCAUUUGCACAUAAACGGAUGAAAUUAUUCGCGUAAGUAUUGGGCAUACAUCAGAAAUUACUUUGAAA